GAUGAAGAACGCAGCGAAAUGCGAUAAGUAGUGUGAAUUGCAGAAUUCAGUGAAUCAUCGAAUCUUUGAACGCACAUUGCGCCCGCCAGCACUCUGGCGGGCAUGUCUGUUCGAGCGUCAUUUCAACCAUCAAGCCCCCAGGGGCUUGUGCUGGGGCCCUGCGGCUGCCCGCAGGCCCUGAAAACCAGUGGCGGGCUCGCUAGUCACACCGAGCGCAGUAGCACAUCUCGCUCAGGGCGUGCGGCGGGCUCCUGCCGUGAAACCCCCCACUGUAACCCCAAAGGUUGACCUCGGAUCAGGUAGGAAUACCCGCUGAACUUAAGCAUAUCAAUAAGCGGAGGA
rnacentral:misc_RNA from 1 species